rnacentral:rRNA from 1 species
GCUUGUCUCAAAGAUUAAGCCAUGCAUGUCUAAGUGUAAAUAAGUCUAUACUGUGAAACUGCGAAUGGCUCAUUAAAUCAGUUAUCGUUUAUUUGAUGAUCUCUUACUACUUGGAUAACCGUAGUAAUUCUAGAGCUAAUACAUGCACAAAAUCCCGACUUACGAAGGGAUGUAUUUAUUAGAUACAAAACCAAUGGGUGGCAACACUCUCACUGGUGACUCAUAGUAACUUCACGAAUCGCAUGGCUUCGGCCGGCGAUAGUUCAUUCAAAUUUCUGCCCUAUCAGCUUUCGACGGUAGUGUAGUGGACUACCGUGGCGUUAACGGGUGACGGAGAAUUAGGGUUCGAUUCCGGAGAGGGAGCCUGAGAAACGGCUACCACAUCCAAGGAAGGCAGCAGG